rnacentral:lncRNA from 1 species
CACUAAAGGAAAAACCAAUCAAAGGAUAAAUCAAGUCAAGUUAAAUACCAAAAAUAAACAAAAAUGACCAGGAAUACAAAUCAUGUCUGAAUAAUAAUCCUUAAUGUUAAUGGUCUAAACUCACCAAUCAAAAGACCUAGAUUGGCAGAUUGGAUGAAAACAAAAACAAAAACAAAAACCACCCAACAAUAUGCUGCCUUCAAGACACUCAUCUCAUAGGAAAAAACAUCCAGAGAAUGAAAGUAAAAGGUUGGGAAAAAACAUACCACUCACAUAUACUGUAAAACCAGCAGGGGUUUCUAUCUUCAUAUCAAAUAACGUAGAUUUCAAGCCAAAGUUAAUCAAAAGGGAUAAAGAAGGAUAUUACAUACUGCUUAAGGGAACUAUACAUCAACAAAACAUAACAAUUAUAAAUAUAUAUGCUCCAAACACUGGAGCAUCUGUGUUCAUUAAAGUCUUCUCAAGUACAAGAGUCAAUAGACCAUGACACAAUAAUUCUGGGUGACUUUAACACACCCUUUCACAACUGCUGGGUUUCUGAUCUCAUGACUAAAAGGCUCAGGGGUCGGUCACUCCAGUUAAACUGGGCUAACUGGGCUGCAUGAAAUAACCACACAAGAGACACAAUACCUUUUUCUUUGGGGUCGCUGUGAUGGCUCCCCUGACCUUAAGGGUCUGCAGAAAGGGAGCAAGAGCACAUGCUGACCCUUUUUAUUGAGGAGAAGUUAUUUAAGUGAGGCAAGGGGUCAGGUUUCAGGGGUCUGAGUCUAUCUUCAUGAUGUCCACUGUCAGCAGGUUGAUUGACACCUGGGUAGGCCACACCCAAGGACACAGUAAGAGAAGGGGACACACACAAGGCACUUCCAUGGAAGAUUCUAUCCUAAACAGGGCAAGG